rnacentral:rRNA from 2 species
GCGUAAGCGCGCGCAGGCGGUUUCUUAAGUCUGAUGUGAAAGCCCACGGCUCAACCGUGGAGGGUCAUUGGAAACUGGGGAACUUGAGUGCAGAAGAGAAAAGCGGAAUUCCACGUGUAGCGGUGAAAUGCGUAGAGAUGUGGAGGAACACCAGUGGCGAAGGCGGCUUUUUGGUCUGUAACUGACGCUGAGGCGCGAAAGCGUGGGGAGCAAACAGGAUUAGAUACCCUGGUAGUCCACGCCGUAAACGAUGAGUGCUAAGUGUUAGAGGGUUUCCGCCCUUUAGUGCUGCAGCUAACGCAUUAAGCACUCCGCCUGGGGAGUACGGUCGCAAGACUGAAACUCAAAGGAAUUGACGGGGGCCCGCACAAGCGGUGGAGCAUGUGGUUUAAUUCUAAGCAACGCGAAGAACCUUACCAGGUCUUGACAUGGGGUGACAACUCUACAGAUAGAGCGUUCCCCUUCGGGGGACACAGUGACAGGUGGUGCGUGGUUGUC